UACAGAGGUCUCAAGCGUUGUUCGGAUUCAUUGGGCGUAAAGGGUGCGUAGGCGGUGAGGUAAGUCGGAUGUGAAAUCCCGGGGCUCAACCCCGGAACUGCAUUCGAUACUGCCUUGCUUGAGCACUGGAGAGGAGACUGGAAUUUACGGUGUAGCAGUGAAAUGCGUAGAUAUCGUAAGGAAGACCAGUGGCGAAGGCGGGUUGCUGGGCUGAUACUGACGCUGAGGCGCGAAAGCCAGGGGAGCGAACGGG
rnacentral:rRNA from 1 species